rnacentral:rRNA from 1 species
GACGAACGCUGGCGGCGUGCUUAACACAUGCAAGUCGAACGGAAAGGCCCUGCUUUUGUGGGGUGCUCGAGUGGCGAACGGGUGAGUAACACGUGAGUAACCUGCCCUUGACUUUGGGAUAACUUCAGGAAACUGGGGCUAAUACCGGAUAGGAGCUCCUGCUGCAUGGUGGGGGUUGGAAAGUUUCGGCGGUUGGGGAUGGACUCGCGGCUUAUCAGCUUGUUGGUGGGGUAGUGGCUUACCAAGGCUUUGACGGGUAGCCGGCCUGAGAGGGUGACCGGCCACAUUGGGACUGAGAUACGGCCCAGACUCCUACGGGAGGCAGCAGUGGGGAAUAUUGCACAAUGGGCGGAAGCCUGAUGCAGCAACGCCGCGUGCGGGAUGACGGCCUUCGGGUUGUAAACCGCUUUCGCCUGUGACGAAGCGUGAGUGACGGUAAUGGGUAAAGAAGCACCGGCUAACUACGUGCCAGCAGCCGCGGUGAUACGUAGGGUGCGAGCGUUGUCCGGAUUUAUUGGGCGUAAAGGGCUCGUAGGUGGUUGAUCGCGUCGGAAGUGUAAUCUUGGGGCUUAACCCUGAGCGUGCUUUCGAUACGGGUUGACUUGAGGAAGGUAGGGGAGAAUGGAAUUCCUGGUGGAGCGGUGGAAUGCGCAGAUAUCAGGAGGAACACCAGUGGCGAAGGCGGUUCUCUGGGCCUUUCCUGACGCUGAGGAGCGAAAGCGUGGGGAGCGAACAGGCUUAGAUACCCUGGUAGUCCACGCUGUAAACGGUGGGUACUAGGUGUGGGGUCCAUUCCACGGGUUCCGUGCCGUAGCUAACGCUUUAAGUACCCCGCCUGGGGAGUACGGCCGCAAGGCUAAAACUCAAAGGAAUUGACGGGGCCCCGCACAAGCGGCGGAGCAUGCGGAUUAAUUCGAUGCAACGCGUAGAACCUUACCUGGGUUUGACAUGGAUCGGGAGUGCUCAGAGAUGGGUGUGCCUCUUUUGGGGUCGGUUCACAGGUGGUGCAUGGCUGUCGUCAGCUCGUGUCGUGAGAUGUUGGGUUAAGUCCCGCAACGAGCGCAACCCUUGUUCACUGUUGCCAGCACGUUAUGGUGGGGACUCAGUGGAGACCGCCGGGGUCAACUCGGAGGAAGGUGGGGAUGACGUCAAGUCAUCAUGCCCCUUAUGUCCAGGGCUUCACGCAUGCUACAAUGGCUGGUACAGAGAGUGGCGAGCCUGUGAGGGUGAGCGAAUCUCGGAAAGCCGGUCUCAGUUCGGAUUGGGGUCUGCAACUCGACCUCAUGAAGUCGGAGUCGCUAGUAAUCGCAGAUCAGCAACGCUGCGGUGAAUACGUUCCCGGGGCUUGUACACACCGCCCGUCAAGUCAUGAAAGUUGGUAACACCCGAAGCCGGUGGCCUAACCGUUGUGGGGGAGCCGUCGAAGGUGGGACUGGUGAUUAGGACUAA